rnacentral:rRNA from 1 species
AACGAACGCUGGCGGCAGGCCUAACACAUGCAAGUCGAACGUGAAGCCACCUUCGGGUGGUGGAAAGUGGCAGACGGGUGAGUAACGCGUGGGAACGUGCCCUUCGGUUCGGGAUAACCCAGGGAAACUUGGGCUAAUACCGGAUACGCCCUUCGGGGGAAAGAUUCAUUGCCGAAGGAUCGGCCCGCGUCGGAUUAGCUGGUUGGUGGGGUAAUGGCCCACCAAGGCGACGAUCCGUAGCUGGUCUGAGAGGAUGACCAGCCACACUGGGACUGAGACACGGCCCAGACUCCUACGGGAGGCAGCAGUGGGGAAUAUUGGACAAUGGGCGCAAGCCUGAUCCAGCCAUGCCGCGUGGGUGAAGAAGGCCUUAGGGUUGUAAACCCCUUUCAGCGGGGAAGAUAAUGACGGUACCCGCAGAAGAAGUCCCGGCUAACUCCGUGCCAGCCGCCGCCGUAA